rnacentral:lncRNA from 1 species
CCGAUGUGGGAUUCGCCUAGGGUGUUACAUACACUCCUUAAUUGGCAAGACGCGUUAUGGGGUGUAUGGGCGCCCCAAGAACAAAUCUGUACGGGCCUUGUUAAGACCCAAAGCGGACAAUAUCUUGCAAGGUCUGGGUUUAGUCAUAACAUUAUUGUAUCAGAGCUGCUCCGCGUGUCCUCUUGAGCGAUGGUGGGGCAAACCUCAGCGAGGACCCUGAGUCCCCAAAGAGGGUGUAUGUAACACCCUAAGCGAAUCCCACAUCAGCAAACCACGGGAAAGAUGCUGGGUUUAUAAGGGGUGAUCCACACCCUUAUUGGGAAGACGCGUUUUGGGGUGCAUGGGCGCCCCAAGAACAAAUCCGUGCGGUUCUUGUUAAGGCCCAAAGCGGACAAUAUCUUGCCAGGUCUUGGUUGGGUCAUGACAUUAUGAUGUCAGAGCGGCUCUACGUGUCCUCUUGAGCGAUGUUGGGGCAAACCUCAGCGAGGACGCUGUGUCCCCAAGGGGGGGUGUAUGUAACACCUUAGGUGAAUCCCACAUCGGCAAAGCACGGGAGAGAUGUUGGGUUUAUAAGGGGUAAUCCACACCUUAAUUCGCAAAACGCGUUUUGGGGUGUAUGGGCGCCCCAAGAACAAAUCCGUGCGGGUCUUGUUAAGGCACAAACCGGACAAUAUCUUGCCAGGUCUGGGUUGGGUAAUGACAUUAUAGUACCAGGGCGGCUCCGCGUGUCCUCUUGAGCGAUGUUGGGGCAAACCUCAGCGAGGACGCUGAGUCCUCAAUGGGGGUGUAUGUAACACCUUAGGCGAAUCCCACAUCAGCAAAGCACGGGAGAGAUGUUGGGUUUAUAAGGGGUGAUACACACCUUAAUUGGCAAGACGAGUUUUGGGGUGUAUGGGCGCCCCAUGAACAAAUCCGUGCGGGCCUUGUUAAGACUCAAAGCGGACAAUAUCUUGCCAGGUCUGGUUUGGGUCAUGACAUUAUGGUAUCAGAGCGGCUCCGCGUGUCCUCUUGGGCGAUGGGGGGGCAAACCUCAGCGAGGACGCUGAGUCCCUAAAGGGGGUGUAUGUAACACCCUAGGCGAAUCCCACAUCAGCAAACCACGGGAAAGAUGUUGGGUUUAUAAGGGGUGAUCCACACCCUAAUUGGCAAGACGCGUUUUGGGGUGCAUGGGUGCCCCAAGAAUGAAUCCGUGCGGUUCUUGUUAAGGCCCAAAGCGGACAAUAUCUUGCCAGGUCUUGGUUGGGUCAUGACAUUAUGAUGUCAGAGCGGCUC